rnacentral:rRNA from 1 species
AAUGGACCAAAAGUCUGAUCCAGCAAUUCUGUGUGCUUGAUGAAGGCCUUCGGGUUGUAAAGAGCUUUAAGUAGGGAAGAAGAAAGUGACGGUACCUACAGAAUAAGCGACGGCUAAAUACGUGCCAGCAGCCGCGGUAAUACGUAUGUCGCAAGCGUUAUCCGGAAUUAUUGGGCAUAAAGGGCGUCUAGGCGGUUUAGAAAGUCUGAUGUGAAAAUGCGGGGCUCAACCCCGUAUUGCGUUGGAAACUACUAGACUAGAGUAUUGGAGAGGUAAGCGGAACUACAAGUGUAGAGGUGAAAUUCGUAGAUAUUUGUAGGAAUGCCAAUUGGGAAGCCAGCUUACUGGACAAAUACUGACGCUGAAGCGCGAAAGCUAGGGGAGCAAA